UAGAGUUCCUUUUCGAACAAUUGUGAAAUUGUAUUCAUACCCGUCGAUAACUAGGUUUGUGCGUUUAGCACUUUCGUUGUUUUGACAGGUUCCAUUUGCUACCUUCGUCUUGCUUCGAACGAAGUAAGAAGGAUGGUAGAAAUAAGAAACCGGCACGGCUUGUGCCAAGGACAGUUGUUGUUGGAGCGCAUCGCCAUUAUUUUGAUGCGCUUUGUGUUAUUCUAAUAAGCGUCUGAAUGACUCCUGGCAAUGGAUAUCUUGGCUCUCGUGUCGAUGAAGAACGUAGCGAAAUGCGACACUUGGUGUGAAUUGCAGAAUCCCGUGAACCAUCGAGUCUUUGAAUGCAAGUUGCGCUCGAGGCCAUUAGGUUGAGAGCACGUCUGUUUGGGCGUCAUGCCUUGCGUCAUUCUAACCAUCCCCCUACGAUAAAUGUAUUGUGGGUGAUGGUGGAUGUGGAGAUUGACCCUCCGUGCUUUAAUUGUGCGGUUGGUUUAAGUGAAUGUUGUCGUUAGGUCUACGCGCGGCGAAUGGUGUAUCGAGUUAACACACGAUGUCCCUAACUGCGUUCAUGAAUCCUAGGCACGAUGCAACAUUAACCGAAACCAUUUUCGAUGUUUGCCACGGUUGCAAGCUCGGACC
rnacentral:misc_RNA from 1 species